rnacentral:rRNA from 1 species
CGUAACAAGGUCUCCGUAGGUGAACCUGCGGAGGGAUCAUUACACAAAUAUGAAGGCGGGCUGGAACCUCUCGGGGUUACAGCCUCGCUGAAUUAUUCACCCUUGUCUUUUGCGUACUUCUUGUUUCCUUGGUGGGUUCGCCCACCACUAGGACAAACAUAAACCUUUUGUAAUUGCAAUCAGCGUCAGUAACAAAUUAAUAAUUACAACUUUCAACAACGGAUCUCUUGGUUCUGGCAUCGAUGAAGAACGCAGCGAAAUGCGAUAAGUAGUGUGAAUUGCAGAAUUCAGUGAAUCAUCGAAUCUUUGAACGCACAUUGCGCCCUUUGGUAUUCCAAAGGGCAUGCCUGUUCGAGCGUCAUUUGUACCCUCAAGCUUUGCUUGGUGUUGGGCGUCUUGUCUCUAGCUUUGCUGGAGACUCGCCUUAAAGUAAUUGGCAGCCGGCCUACUGGUUUCGGAGCGCAGCACAAGUCGCACUCUCUAUCAGCAAAGGUCUAGCAUCCAUUAAGCCUUUUUUUUUCAACUUUUGACCUCGGAUCAGGUAGGGAUACCUGCUGAACUUAAGC